GAUUUUCUCGCUGCUGACCCGGGACUAGCUCCGCUUCGUGCUCGGACGAACCGCCCCGCCAUUGUCGCGCGCGUGGAUCUCGCCGGGAUCCGGCACGUGGACUUCUUUUUCCCCCUCGCGCAUCUGGGUAUAAGACCAUUCCUUGCCCAUUCCUCUGACACCGCAAGCCCGUUAGCCGCACCUUGCACCGUGCCGAGACGCUGGAACCAGAGAAAGAGGGCCGAGGAAGUCGCUCCGCGCCGCCGUAGCCACUGCGCAUGCGCAUCUACGGUCAACCAGUGACAGUGGGAUCUGUGUGGAUUGCACGCGGGUGGGAAAUUGAGCUCGUGAGCCAUCGUCGUUCGGCGAAUUGCUCGCCAGAAUCUGUGGAUUGCCGCCAUCUGCCAUUGCUCGUGGCCAGCGUUCCUCACCGUGCUAAACUCGGUAUGAGCUUCCCCCUGCUGUUUCCUUUUGAUCCAUCGACGCAUAGCACUUUUCGGGUUUGGGCUUGGGAUCGUAGAAUUGGGCGGCUCUGCAAUGGCGCCACCGCGCCAGGCAGUGCACCGCCGUUCGGACACCGGAGGAAGGGUAGAUGACGAUCCCAGGGUCGUUGAUCUCGCGAUGGACGUUUAGGAUUAGACCAUGGUAGGAUGAUGUGUGUGCCAUUGAUCUCAACGUGUGCGGCUGCGAUUAAAUCGGUCGUACCGGUUCGGGUGAGGCCUGUGUGAACCGGGCGAUGUUGAUCCUACGCACUGGGUUGGUUUUCGUUACUUUAAAUCCACGGCGUCGAUCUAGGAUCCGAUGCGUACGAUUGCAUACCGGUUUGCUUUUAAUCCUCGCCGUGCAUCGCGGAUCCGUUGGCUGAGUCACGUUCGUACCCCUUCGCCGAGGCAAGUUGCAAAAGACCCCUCGGUGUUAUAACAAAUAAACACGCGAUCCAGAGCCUGUAUCCUGUGUCUCGGGCGUUUUACAUAGAAGCCCCUGGGCUUUUCUGUAAUAGUGUGCGCGGUCCAGUGAUCCGAGGGAUUGAUAAUUAAUUACAGAAAUGAUUUUUUUAAUAUAAAAAUAAUUCCUAGAACUUGUUUAAAUCCUAUAAAAUUCAUACUAAGUCCAAAUUUACCCAUUCCAGUCCCUAUAAUUUUAUAAUAUUGUUGUUUAUCAUAUAGUUCCACUGUUUUGACAUGAAAAUUGUAUUAAAAAUUAAUCUCUUGGUUAAUCUUGUAUUGAAUACAUAAAACCUUAGGGAAUUCAUAACUCCUCCGUUUUUACUCCGAUUUGAUCCGUUCAAGUUGCGUUAGUCUCGUAUAAAUAUUUACUAUGCAAUAACCGCAUUUAUUAUACCAUAUCCCAUUCUUUUAUAAUUAGAUCUUUAUUUAACUUAUAUUGGUUAGUCUCGUUAAACUACUUAUCAUUAUAAUCUACUAGAAUAUAAUCUGUGGUCAAUUUAUAACUUAUAUUUAAGUUGAGAUUAUUAUUUAUAGAAUAACCUUUUAUAUGAUUUAUAUUAACCAAUUUAUAAUAUAGUUUAACAUUUUAAUCACGUCCUCUAUAAAAUCAUAACUCCGAUCUUAGUAGUUCUCGGUCCCGCGAUCUCGUAGCAGCGCGUAGAUCAUUGUUAUAUGUUUUAUUCUUAUCUGUGGUGUGAUGGUAAUUUUGUACAUAUCAUGUUUGUUUGUAUUGCUACGUCUAGCGUGAGGUCAUGAGGAUCUGAAGAAUCACCCUGGUAACUGGAAUCUCAAGUGCCAGACAAGUUGUGCCCUUGAUCCACUUUUGUUACCCAAUAAUAUUCUUUAUUAUCACUAUUCAAUGCAUAGGUUUAAUUUUGAUGGGACCCAAUAGGUCACCCUAGUCUGUUUAUCAUGUUUAUCUUGUUUACCCCUAAUUCACUUGGGUAGUUAUGCUAUUGCAUUAUGUGGUUUCAGAUUAAUAUUUCAUUAUAUCAAUGUUCCAAUUAUUCUGUUAUGUUAUUUAUAUUCAUGAUAAGAUCAUUAUGUUAAUUGGAACAUGGAGCGACCACCCGGGAAAACAGUGCUACCACAAGGGUUUAAUGGGACGCCCUUGGCCGAUUAACUAGGAAAGCUAGUGGAUGACUACCUUACCCGAAAGGGGCAAGGGCAGUAGGGGAGUGGUCAGUGUAGGGAGGUCCUUGGGUUGAUUUGCUGCGAUGGUGGUCAGGCGAGGGAUUCCUGCACUGGAGCUUCCUAUAAACUGUAGCGGGUUUUCUGAAGCUAGUGGAACUUUGUAAAGGCCUCGUAGUGUUACCCUGCCUCACUUCCUUGGUAGAGGUGUAUGGGAUUCAUGACCCCUUGGCAGAUGGGUAACACGGCUUGUGGGUAAAGAUGCGCAACCUCUGCAGAGUGUAAAACUGGUAUACUAGCCGUGCUCACGGUCAUGAGCGGCUCGGACCCUCACAUGAUUAAAUUAUGGAACCUAAACUCAAUUUUUCAUUUGCAUCUGCAUGGGAUUAUUUAUUAAUUUUGUUCUAUUAUUUAUUAUGGUUUGGUAUUUACUUACACUUAGUAACUGCUAAUAAAAUUUUGACCAACUUAUAAAAGCAAUGCUCAGCUUCAAACUUUAUUUGUUGAUCAGCCUUACACUUCACAUGAACUCCCACCUUUUGUGAGUUCAUGCACAUUAUUCCCUACAACUUGUUGAGCGAUGAACAUGUGUGAGCUCACCCUUGCUGUCUCACACCCCCCCACAGGAGAAGAACAGGUGGUUCAAGUGGAGCUGCAUAUCGAGGAGUUCGAUUCGAUCUAGGUGGUGUCUCCCAGUUCACUUUCUGGCGCCAAUGAUAGUUUUUAGAUCCUGCUAUAUUUAUCUUUUAUUUUGUAAGACUUCCGCUAUGUAAUAAGUACUCU
rnacentral:lncRNA from 1 species